rnacentral:rRNA from 1 species
GACGAACGCUGGCGGCGUGCCUAAUACAUGCAAGUCGAACGCUUCUUUCCUCCCGAGUGCUUGCCCUCAAUUGGAAAGAGGAGUGGCGGACGGGUGAGUAACACGUUGGUAACCUACCCCUCAGAGGGGGAUAACACUUGGAAACAGGUGCUAAUACCGCAUAACAGUUUAUGCCGCAUGGCCUAAGAGUGAAAGGCGCUUUCGGGUGUCGCUGAUGGAUGGACCCGAGGUGCAUUAGCUAGUUGGGGAGGUAACGGCUCACCAAGGCCACGAUGCAUAGCCGACCUGAGAGGGUGAUCGGCCACACUGGGACUGAGACACGGCCCAGACUCCUACGGGAGGCAGCAGUAGGGAAUCUUCGGCAAUGGACGAAAGUCUGACCGAGCAACGCCGCGUGAGUGAAGAAGGUUUUCGGAUCGUAAAACUCUGUUGUUAGAGAAGAACAAGGACGUUAGUAACUGAACGUCCCCUGACGGUAUCUAACCAGAAAGCCACGGCUAACUACGUG